GUCCAUUUACUGCCUCCCUGCACACACAAUAACACGAUGUAAAACAUCAGGACAUGACGUUUCAUUUAUAGAUUGUGUGUGUGUGUUAGCUCCUUAAAUCCAGUUUCCCUCCUUCCUUCCUUCCCAGCAGCCAGGUGUCAGUUUGUUUCUCUGAAAGUUUUACCUGCAGAGAGACUGCAGUCUGUGUCAGACUGAACGAUAGGACGGAAAGAGAAAAACAAUAUAUGAAAGCAGAGACGUCAGCUCAUAUUAUCCACCUGCAGCGCUGCGAAGCACAAAAAACAAGCUUUGGCGUCACUUCUGUGCAUCGACAAAAGUCCUGGUUUGAUUUCACUAACUUGUGAAUGAUGUUUGGCUUCAAAUAUCAGAUGCCUUAAAUGUCAGAGCUUCUCACAAGCUGUUGAAGAAAGGAACAUGAAUAUAAAAUAUAUUAAAAACAGGUGUUGAAAUGUGCUCACCUUUACUGUACAGUCCCUCACUGCAGUAACACUGACGAGUAACAAAGGAAGGAAGUCAGUCUAAAAGCUGAUGCACGGGAUUCAUAGAUAAGGGGAUCAAACAUGUAAAAGCUCUUGUGUGAUUCUUUAACAUCAGUGUCAUGUUAUUCUCACAGAGUUAAUAAUGAGCCUCUGAUUUCAGAGUAUUUCUGUGGACCUGAAACAUCCCAGAGGAGCGCACAUCAUCCAGGAGCUUGCAGGAGUGUGUGACGUGCUGAUAGAAAACUACCUGCCAGGGAAACUUCAGCAGAUGGGUUUAGGAUACGAGCAGCUGAGCGGAGUGAACCCACAACUCAGCUACUGCUCCAUAUCAGGGUGACCUCCCCAGCCCUGCAGACAGCAGGUUUUACUCUCGCCUGCUGAGCUCGGAUGACAUGGAGGAUGUGGUCGACGCUGAUGAAUACCUGCUACCUUACAAAGGACUGGGUGACCAUGACAACCGUCCCUGCAAUGCCACGGUACACACACACACACAGUAUACAGUAUAAUAACACACAGUUUAAUAAAUCAGCUCCACCUGGUCACUUUUCUUUAACUUCUCUCACGAGAAUCAGGAGGAACAAGUUUAUUCAAGAGUCACAAACAAGACUGACAACAGGAAGCAGCACGCGCAGUAUACAUCACAACUUUGUGUCCACAGAUUAAUCAAACUGGUCAUUCUCACAUUUCUUUCCUCUACAGUCCACAGGGAGGAAACCGACUCACAGACUUUGACGGUAAGAUAAUAAAAAUGUUGGAUUAACACUCACCCUGCCUCAGCCUUCAGUUUCCUCCUUCUGCUCUGUCGACUCAAAAUAGAGUCUGAACUAACUGAACACUUUCAGCUUCAGGUUCCUCCCUGUUCUUACGUACCUGGAUCACCGGGUCAGUGUUGCUCCGCCCCUCUCCAUUUACAGGAAAUCAGGUGAGUUUAUCUGUGUGUGUGUGGGCAGGUAUUACUAAUGUUGUGGGGACAGAAAUUUGUUUACACAGUCACAUUGUGGGGACAAAAUGUCCGUCCCUAUAAUGAAAUCAUCAAACUUUAGGCUGAAGACUUGGUGUAAGGUUAGGGUAAGUCUCCAGGUAAUGAAUGUAAGUGAAUGUAAUGUCCCCGAAAGUGACGGAAACACAACUGUGUGUGUGUGUGUGUGUGUGUGUGUGUGUGUGUGUGUGGUGCUCACACAGAUCAGCUGUUUAACAUGAUGUGUCUCUCUUGGCUUCAACAGGUUGAAUUAAAAUGAGUUUUGGUCUAAAUGUUGGAACUUAAAUGAUGUUUAAAUGAUGUAAAGAAUCUGUUUUGUUUAAGUUCCAACUAAAGUGCUUUAAACUGAAUGAAACCGAACUAAAUGUGUUCUUUUACAGACUUAUAGGGAACACAAACACAGCUGAGCAUCAGCUCCUUCAUGCUCCACUGGAUCUGGAGACAGUGGGUUAAGGUGAACGACCUUUCAUCUCAGCACAGGAGCCCCCCAGGGCUGUGUCCUGCCCCCUGACUCUGCUCCCUUUACACAAACAGUCUCACGUCCCAUCACAGUUCAGUUACCAUCCAUAUUAGGUCUCAUAUCCAACAACAACGAGCACAGUUAGAGGGAGCAGGUGCCACAACCUCUCCCUGAACCCCCUGUGCUGCGGCAGCUCCCUGAACUCUAUGGGCUGCAGCUCACUCCUGCCUCUGCUGGAUCGCAGCAGUCACGUCUUGCUCCGGUUGGGCCGCAACCAUACCCUGCUCCUGGCCCGAGGGCUGGACAUAAGAGCAGAGCAGGUCAGGUGGGCACCCAGGAGGCAGGGCUGAAGGGCCGAGCAGGUCCGGGUGAUUACCAGACAUACGGAGCAACUCAGGAGGUCGGGGACGAAGGUGGGGACCCUCUGGGGGUCGAACCGGAUGCUGAGGUGAAGACAGAAGGCCACUGGAGGCCAGCAGCGAAGGCGGAAGCCUUCUGGAGGUUGGCGGCAUGGCUGGAGAUGAAGACCAGGGUCUGGUGACCGGGCAGCAGGACAGGAGGCCGGCGACGGAGAGACUGGAAGAGGAGUCGGUGGAACCAGUGCUGCUAGGGAACCAGGAGGCUGCUGCACAGGUGGAUCAGGAGGUUGCUGCAGCUCAGAGAGUUCAGGAGGUUGGUGCAGCUCAGAGAGUUCGGGAGGUUGCUGCAGCUCAGAGAGUUCGGGAGGUUGCUGCAGC